AUUGAACGCUGGCGGCAUGCUUUACACAUGCAAGUCGAACGGCAGCGCGGGGCAACCUGGCGGCGAGUGGCGAACGGGUGAGUAAUAUAUCGGAACGUACCCAGAAGUGGGGGAUAACGUAGCGAAAGUUACGCUAAUACCGCAUACGAUCUACGGAUGAAAGUGGGGGACCUUCGGGCCUCAUGCUUGUGGAGCGGCCGAUAUCUGAUUAGCUAGUUGGUGAGGUAAAGGCUCACCAAGGCAACGAUCAGUAGCUGGUCUGAGAGGACGACCAGCCACACUGGGACUGAGACACGGCCCAGACUCCUACGGGAGGCAGCAGUGGGGAAUUUUGGACAAUGGGCGCAAGCCUGAUCCAGCAAUGCCGCGUGAGUGAAGAAGGCCUUCGGGUUGUAAAGCUCUUUUGUCAGGGAAGAAACGGCUCGGGCUAAUAUCCUGGGCUAAUGACGGUACCUGAAGAAUAAGCACCGGCUAAUUACGUGCCAGCCGCCGCGGUAA
rnacentral:rRNA from 1 species